rnacentral:rRNA from 1 species
UACGUAGGGUCCGAGCGUUGUCCGGAAUUACUGGGCGUAAAGAGCUCGUAGGUGGUUUGUCGCGUUGUUCGUGAAAACUCACAGCUUAACUGUGGGCGUGCGGGCGAUACGGGCAGACUGGAGUACUGCAGGGGAGACUGGAAUUCCUGGUGUAGCGGUGGAAUGCGCAGAUAUCAGGAUGAACACCGGUGGCGAAGGCGGGUCUCUGGGCAGUAACUGACGCUGGAGGAGCGAAA